UACGUAGGGUGCGAGCGUUGUCCGGAAUUAUUGGGCGUAAAGAGCUUGUAGGCGGUUUGUCGCGUCUGCUGUGAAAAUCCGGGGCUCAACCCCGGACUUGCAGUGGGUACGGGCAGACUAGAGUGUGGUAGGGGAGACUGGAAUUCCUGGUGUAGCGGUGGAAUGCGCAGAUAUCAGGAGGAACACCCGGUGGCGAAGGCGGGUCU
rnacentral:rRNA from 1 species